rnacentral:rRNA from 1 species
UACGUAGGGGGCAAGCGUUGUCCGGAUUUAUUGGGCGUAAAGAGCGUGUAGGCGGCUUGGUAGGUCCGCUGUGAAAACUCGAGGCUCAACCUCGAGAUGUCGGCGGAAACCACUUGGCUAGAGUCCGGAAGAGGAGAGUGGAAUUCCUGGUGUAGCGGUGAAAUGCGCAGAUAUCAGGAAGAACACCUAUGGCGAAGGCAGCUCUCUGGGACGGUACUGACACUGAGGCGCGAAAGCGUGGGGAGCGAACCGG